UACGGGGGGAGCAAGCGUUGUUCGGAUUUACUGGGCGUAAAGGGCGCGUAGGCGGUCGUGACGAGUCACUUGUGAAAUCUCCGGGCUUAACUCGGAACGGUCAAGUGAUACUGUCGGACUAGAGUACAGAAGGGGCAACUGGAAUUCUCGGUGUAGCGGUGAAAUGCGUAGAUAUCGAGAGGAACACCUGCGGCGAAGGCGGGUUGCUGGGCUGAUACUGACGCUGAGGCGCGAAAGCCAGGGGAGCGAACGGG
rnacentral:rRNA from 1 species